CUGCCAGUACCACGAGGGCUGUAAUGAUGUAGCCAAGUGGAAGGUGCGGGGAGAUGGGGACAGAGGCCUUCCCGUCCGCUUUGGGGAGUCAGGAGGCCCUUCGAGAGAAACAGCCCUCCUUUUCCUAGGCCCCCAGUGCAACUGGAAGGGAGAGGAAUCCCACACCGGCUGCACAAUUAGGGGCUACGUGAGGGCGCUGUAUUACAUGCCGAGGAAUUCGGCUUUCAUCCUGCAAGCAAGGGGCUGCAGCGACUGCAGCUCACGCCGCGGCGAAACGGUGCAGUAUGCAGGUCUUCUAUUUUGUUUGGCCCACCAUCUUUGCAACUCGGGUGAAGUGGGAGGUUCAACUGGUCUGAGAACACUUGAUGUACUCCAUUGACUGUCUGAAUGAAAGGUUUUUAUGUUUCUGCAGAACACAACAACUGAUCUCCAUCUAUAACUAUAUUUUUUUAAGCAACACAGAGCACCUGAGACCCACGAUGUAUUAAGAGGUCACCUGUUCACCCCGGAAAGGAAAAAUUAGCAGCGGGUAUAGGAGCCAUUGGCCUGAGCUCCUGGGAGUAAAACUCGGGGACCAGCAGCCCUUUCCACGCUGCGCAUCAGGAAGGACGGUUCCUGGAUUAGCAGCCCCUCUCUGCUCCCAUCUUCACUCUAAAGCCUCCACCCUGCAGAGACCAUCCCUCGCUCUCGAGGGGCCCUCAGAGAUGGGCUGGCGGCUGUGGGGGGUCACCCCAGAGUUUGAUGGGACGUCUGAGGAGCCCUGGAGAGCUCCUGCCCCUGGGGUGCUAUCCUCUGCACGAAAGAGGGAUCCGAAAACAGCUCACCUUCCAUCCUCCAUGCGAGAGGCCCUAAUGCUUUGCUAUGAUGCCUCAUGAGGUUUCAUUAUAACAACUUAUUAAAUAAAUUAAAACGUACUUUAAAGGAAGAGAAAGCUACAGCAUUUUCAGCAUCUACUUUGUAUUUACACAUUGGAUCUAACCUUCCAAAUAACAUGUGCUGGUCGGACACUCACUUAUGUAGAUGGUGAUCAAAGGACAGUGGGUAAUGUCUUGCUCUGUCCUAAGGCUCACGGGCCAAACGUUCAGUCCUUCUUUACCGAAUCAAGCUGGAGGCUGCGGGCAACGGACAGCACCCCCUUGUGGCCAACCCGAGGAAUUACCAUCACUUUAUUAACUGGAGAGGUAAUUUUAAAUAAAUCCAUCAUGCAACUUGAAACAGCCAAAGAGAACAGUGAGGAUUAAGAGGUGCAGGCAGUGAUGUUGCACAAGAAGCCCAAUGAGCAAGGAACCAUGCUGCAUUGAAAUUUAAGUUGCAGACUCUGCAAUUCACCCGCUCAAAGUGCACAGCUCACCCGCGUCCGUGCAGCCAGACUUGUGCCACCAGUGGCAUAAUCAACCUUGGAGCAUCUCGUCACCCCAAAGAGCUUCCCAUAUAAAUUACUUUCCUUGUCCGCCCUCCAGACCUGAUGCAACCACCAAUCUAUUUUGUCUGAAUAGGCUUGCCUCUUCUUGGACAUUUCAAACAAAUAGAAUCAGGCAAUAGAUGGUC